CUCAGAAAUCAAUCACCUCUUGCAUACCUUCCUACAAACUCUAAGCAACCAAGAGAAAUCGAGAUGGCAUUCUCAAAGACUUUUCUUCUUGUCGCCCUUGCCUUUGCUGUUCUCCUCAUCUCUGCUGAGGUCUCGGCUCACCGUGACCUAGCUGAGACUACCACUGCUACUCAGAAAGCCAACACUGAUGGCUACCACGGACACGACCAUGGAUGGCACGGUGGACACGGAGGACAUGGUGGACACGGAGGACAUGGUGGUCAUCACGGAGGGCAUGGACCUCAUGAUGUUGAGACUGAGAACUAGAUGAUGAAGAUGAUAACCCUUUGUACGUAUGCAUGCAGUGGUGUACAUUGCAGGCGUACGUAGCUGAUGCAAAGGGUUUUAAUAUGGAAGCAGUAAUAGCUUGCUUGGUUAUGAAUAAUAAGUGUGUAUUUGGUUGAGCAGUCCACAAAACUCUCAAUCGAUCAUAUCUUUGUAAUUCGAUCCUCGGAUCUCUAUGUCAUGAACUAUCUACGAUCCACACUUUAUAUUAGCUGAUCAAUUUAUGCUUGUCUAUA